UACAGAGGGGGUGAGCGUUGUUCGGAAUUACUGGGCGUAAAGGGCGCGUAGGCGGCCAACUAAGUCAGACGUGAAAUCCCUCGGCUCAACCGGGGAACUGCGUCUGAUACUGGAUGGCUUGAAUUCGGGAGAGGGAUGCGGAAUUCCAGGUGUAGCGGUGAAAUGCGUAGAUAUCUGGAGGAACACCGGUGGCGAAGGCGGCAUCCUGGACCGAGAUUGACGCUGAUGCGCGAAAGCCAGGGGAGCAAACGGG
rnacentral:rRNA from 1 species